UAGGGAAUUUUCCACAAUGGGCGAAAGCCUGAUGGAGCAACGCCGCGUGCAGGAUGAAUGCCUUCGGGUUGUAAACUGCUUUUAUAUGUGACGAAUAUGACGGUAGCAUAUGAAUAAGGAUCGGCUAACUCCGUGCCAGCAGCCGCGGUCAUACGGAGGAUCCAAGCGUUAUCCGGAAUUACUGGGCGUAAAGAGUUGCGUAGGUGGCAUAGUAAGCAGACAGUGAAAGCGUGUGGCUCAACCAUACAUACAUUGCCUGAACUGCUAAGCUAGAGUAUGAGAGAGGUAGAUGGAAUUCCCAGUGUAGGAGUGAAAUCCGUAGAUAUUGGGAGGAACACCGAUGGCGUAGGCAGUCUACUGGCUCAUUACUGACACUCAGGCACGAAAGCGUGGGGAGCAAACGGG
rnacentral:rRNA from 1 species